AACAGUCACUCAACUUUGGGGUAGCUGACAAAACAGUCACCUAGUUUUAUUUCAGUCACUCAACUUUGGAAAAAUAACAAAACAAUUCUUUUAACCAUUUUCCGUUACAGACGUAAUGGAAAAAUGACAUGGCAUUUAAUGGUGAAUUAGCUAUUAUUUUAACAGUCCUUUUUAACCUUAAACCCAUUUAAGAGCCCUGGGCAAUAGAAGAAGAAGAGAAGAAGAAGAAGAAGAAGAAGAAUAAGAGAAAAUGAAAGGAGCUUCGUAUCAGCGAUUGCCAAUGGUCAAAAUUCAGGAACUCAAAGACGACUACGCUUCUACAGCACCGACACCUCCAUGGCCAACGCCCUCCGCUGCACAAGUUGAAUGCAUGUGCUAAUGCACAUAUGCAGUCUGUGCAUUGAUUCUGAAGUUUUUCUCUUCUGAUGAUAGAAUGGACUUGAUGCCAAGGUUGAAAAGUCUAGAAAUAGAUGAAGAAAAGGAAAAACAGGGCUAAAAAAGUCAGAGGUGUAAAGAAGACCAAAGCUGGAGAGGCUGCAAAAGAAAAAGUGAGAUCCCCAUAGAUAUGAACUAAGUUUCGUGCAGCAAUACAAUCAAGCCCCUACUUAUUUACCUCCAUUUAUAUUGUUUGCCGUUGAACUUCAAAUGUGUAAUGUUGAGUUCAUUCUUCUUUUGAAUAUCCAUUUGGAUUUUUGUAUUAUGGACCUAUUUUACUUGUUCCUAUGGAAAUUGAAAUCUAAAUCAGUACCAUGUUAUGUCA